AUUGAACGCUGGCGGAAUGCUUUACACAUGCAAGUCGAACGGCAGCACGGGCUUCGGUCUGGUGGCGAGUGGCGAACGGGUGAGUAAUGUAUCGGAACGUGCCCAGUCGUGGGGGAUAACGUAGUGAAAAUUACGCUAAUACCGCAUACGAUCUAUGGAUGAAAGCGGGGGAUCGCAAGACCUCGCGCGAUUGGAGCGGCCGAUAUCAGAUCAGGUAGUUUGUGGGGUAAAGGCCCACCAAGCCAACGACCUGAAGCUGGUCUGAGAGGACGACCAGCGACAAUUGAACAGAAACACUGUCCAGACUCCUAAGGGAGGCAUCAGUGGUUAAUUUUGGACAAUGGGCGAAAGCCUCAUCCAACCAUUCCGCGUGCAGGAUGAAGGCCCUCGGGUUGUAAACUGCUUUUGUACAGAACGAAAAGGUUUCUACUAAUACUAGGAGCUCAUGACGGUACUGUAAGAAUAAGCACCCGCUAACUACGUUCCAGCAGCCGCAGUAA
rnacentral:rRNA from 1 species